UGGGGAAUAUUGCACAAUGGGCGCAAGCCUGAUGCAGCAACGCCGCGUGAACGAUGAAGGUCUUCGGAUCGUAAAGUUCUGUUGCAGGGGAAGAUAAUGACGGUACCCUGUGAGGAAGCCCCGGCUAACUACGUGCCAGCAGCCGCGGUAAUACGUAGGGGGCUAGCGUUAUCCGGAUUUACUGGGCGUAAAGGGUGCGUAGGUGGUCCUUCAAGUCGGUGGUUAAAGGCUACGGCUCAACCGUAGUAAGCCGCCGAAACUGGAGGACUUGAGUGCAGGAGAGGAAAGUGGAAUUCCCAGUGUAGCGGUGAAAUGCGUAGAUAUUGGGAGGAACACCAGUAGCGAAGGCGGCUUUCUGGACUUGAACUGACGCUGAGGCACGAAAGCGUGGGGAGCAAACAGG
rnacentral:rRNA from 1 species